rnacentral:rRNA from 1 species
UACGAAGGGGGCUAGCGUUGUUCGGAAUUACUGGGCGUAAAGCGUGCGCAGGCGGCCAUCCAAGUCAGUGGUGAAAGCCCGGAGCUCAACUCCGGAAUUGCCAUUGAAACUGUUUGGCUCGAGUACGAGAGAGGUGAGUGGAAUUCCCAGUGUAGAGGUGAAAUUCGUAGAUAUUGGGAAGAACACCGGUGGCGAAGGCGGCUCACUGGUCCAUUACUGACGCUGAGGUGCGAAAGCGUGGGGAGCAAACAGG